UGGGGAAUAUUGGACAAUGGGCGCAAGCCUGAUCCAGCAAUGCCGCGUGUGUGAAGAAGGUCUUCGGAUUGUAAAGCACUUUCGGCGGGGACGAUGAUGACGGUACCCGCAGAAGAAGCCCCGGCUAACUUCGUGCCAGCAGCCGCGGUAAUACGAAGGGGGCUAGCGUUGCUCGGAAUGACUGGGCGUAAAGGGCGCGUAGGCGGAUGGUACAGUCAGAUGUGAAAUUCCUGGGCUUAACCUGGGGGCUGCAUUUGAUACGUGUGAUCUGGAGUGAGGAAGAGGGUCGUGGAAUUCCCAGUGUAGAGGUGAAAUUCGUAGAUAUUGGGAAGAACACCGGUGGCGAAGGCGGCGACCUGGUCCUUGACUGACGCUGAGGCGCGAAAGCGUGGGGAGCAAACAGGAUUAGAUACCCGUGUAGUCC
rnacentral:rRNA from 1 species